CAGAUGUGGGUGUUAAACGUAGAGAGCCUGCUCAGCUCCAUGGCGAGACAGCUGCAGGAUUCACUGGAGAAAUACCCCAGGCAGGAGCAUGAGGACAGAUUCCCAUCCUCACUGACCAAACACAGGACUUCUCAACACAGCGCUCUGCCUAAAACCUACAUGGCCAGAAGCUUGCAGCAAACUCGGGCCGAUCCACCCGCAACACCGCAUAGACGUUAUUCCUGAUUAAAAAAGGCUGAGAUUGUUCUGUUAAAGUGAACUGUAGUCUGUGAUUGGUAAAGAGAGAUAAACAUGGCCAUGGUGCUGCUUUAACCCUUCGUAUUGUGUUUUCGCUUUGUCUUGUAAAUAAAGACUGACGUGGAGCGAGAA